rnacentral:rRNA from 1 species
AGUUUGAUCCCGGCUCAGAACGAACGCUGGCGGCGUGCUUAACACAUGCAAGUCGAACGCGAAAGCCCGCAAGGGUGAGUAGAGUGGCGCACGGGUGAGUAACACGUAAGCAAUCUGCCCUUGAGGGGGGGACAACGUUCCGAAAGGAGCGCUAAUACCGCAUAACCCGGUAUAGGGACCCAGGUCCCGGCCGGCAAAGAUGGCCUCUGCUUGCAUGCUAUCGCUUAAGGAGGAGCUUGCGUCCCAUUAGGUAGUUGGUGAGGUAACGGCUCACCAAGCCCGCGAUGGGUAGCCGGCCUGAGAGGGUAACCGGCCACACUGGCACUGAGACACGGGCCCAGACUCCUACGGGAGGCAGCAGUGAGGAAUUUUGGGCAAUGGGCGAAAGCCUGACCCAGCGACGCCGCGUGGGUGAUGAAGGCCUCCGGGUCGUAAAACCCUGUGAGAUGGGAAGAAGCCGUUGCGUGCUAAUACCACGUCGCGGUGACAGUACCAUCAGAGGAAGCCCCGGCUAACUACGUGCCAGCAGCCGCGGUAAAACGUAGGGGGCUAGCGUUGUUUCGGAAUUACUGGGCGUAAAGCGCGUGUAGGCGGCUUGGCAAGUCGGAAGUGAAAGCCCCAGGCUCAACUUGGGAAUUGCUUUCGAAACUGCCUAGCCUGAGUGCGGGAGGGGAGAGCGGAAUUCCAGGUGUAGCGGUGAAAUGCGUAGAUAUCUGGAGGAACACCGGUGGCGAAGGCGGCUCUCUGGACCGUAACUGACGCUGAGACGCGAAAGCGUGGGUAGCAAACAGGACUAGAUACCCUGGUAGUCCACGCCCUAAACGAUGGAUACUUGGCGUGGGAAGUUCAAAUCUUUCCGUGCCGGAGCUAACGCAUUAAGUAUCCCGCCUGGGGAGUACGGUCGCUAGGCUGAAACUCAAAGGAAUUGAC